rnacentral:rRNA from 1 species
UACACACCGCCCGUCACACCAUGGGAGUUGGCUUUACCCGAAGGCGGUGCGCUAACCAGCAAUGGGGGCAGCCGACCACGGUAGGGUCAGCGACUGGGGUG